CAAUAAUUCAGAGGCCUUAAUAAUGCCACCAUACUGUAGGACUAUGCUUCAGAGCCUUCACUUCGAACCAUGAAAACCUUGACAUUUGCAUUUUAUGGUUAUUUGGACACAGUUACAGUCUUAACAUAGAUUAUAAAGUAAAUUAUUAAUAGGCAGAAAUUAGAUACCUGAUAUGCUUCCUCUAUUUUCCAGGAAAUAAGAUUCUUUGUAAUUUUACAUUAUUGGUAGAUAGACAGGUGGACAGAUGAAGGUUGAGUCUUUCCCUCAUUAUUUUAUGAGUACUUCCCAAACUCUAUCACAUCCUGAUACAAAUGGUAAGUAAUAAUCUUCAAAUAGCACCCUGGAAAAAUGGAGGAAGCUGCUGGGCUCUGACCUAUCAAUGCCUCUUCCUGCUGACUCAAAGAAGGGAGAAGUUUGAACAAACCAUCCCAAACAAGAAGCAGAAAAUUUGGAACAUACACCCCUGCACCAGAGCAAUCCAUAAACUCAAAAAUUUCUUCAAGGCACCACGAAGCUUAAGGAAACUAAGCAAGGAGAUCAAACCGGUCAGUCCUAAAGAAAAUCAACUCUGAACAUUCAUUGGAAGGACUGAUACUGAAGCUAAAGCUCUAAUACUUUGGCCACCUGAUGUGAAUUACCGACUCAUUGGAAAAGACCUUAAUGCUGGGAAAGAUCGAACACAGGAGGAGAAGUGGAUGAGGAGGAGGAGACAGUUGGAUGGCAUCACAGAGUCAAUGGACAUGAAUUUGAGCAAGCUCUAGGAGAUGGUGAAGGAAAGGGAAGCCUGGUGUGCUGCAGUCCAUGGGGUCGCAAAGAGUCGGACAUGACUGAGAGACUGAACAACAAAAAUCAGGAAGCUGAAUGAAAACAGAAAGCUUCAUUUUGUGAAUUAGUUUUCUUGAAACACAACAUCCUGCCUACAAUGUCUCCAAGGAGAGAACACUCUUAUCCUGAAGACUUCCUCUUACCUUCCUUUCCUGAAGGAAGAUGGACUAUUCCUUAACAGGCACUGACUCACUUGGGCAGAUGCAGCAGUGAUUUCCUGCAGCAUAUGUCAGCCUUUGCAGAGCUACUCAGACCAAAACAGCAGCCCAGUCCCUGGAGCUGACAUUCAUUUGAUCUCUUUUAAUUUGCCCCCAAAUCAUCAUUACCAGAGUGUGUCUCCCAAAUAACUGAGAACUCCCCACUUGUUUAUCUUGAACUCUGCUUAGCACUUCUAGAAUGAAAAAUAGUAUCUUUAUAUAUGACUAUAAAAUAAUGAGACAUACCUAUUACCCACAAUAAACACACAUUUUCUCCUAAUAACUCA
rnacentral:lncRNA from 1 species